CUUAUAGUAGAUUAGAGCUGAGUAGAAUUGAGUACACAGACUAAAGUAGAAUAGAGCUGAGUAGAAUUGAGUGCACAGACUAAAGUAGAAUAGAGGAGAGAAGAAAAGAGCUGAGUAGAAUUGAGUACACAGACUAGAGUAGAACCGAGGAGAGAAGAAUAGAUCUGAGUAGAAUUGAGUACACUGACUAGCGUAGAAUAGAGCUGAGUAGAAUUGAGUACACAGACUAGUGUAGAAUAGAGCUGAGUAGAAUUGAGUACACAGACUAGUGUAGAAUAGAGCUGAGUAGAAUUGAGUACACAGACUAGAGUAGAACAGAAUAGAGCUGAGUAGAAUUGAGUGCACAGACUAGAGUAGAAUAGAGCUGAGUAGAAUUGAGUGCACAGACUAGAGCAGAAUAGAGUAGAGAUGAAUAGAACUAAGUAGAAUUGAGUGCACAGACUAGCGUAGAAUAGAGCUGAGUAGAAUUGAGUACACAGACUAGAGUAGAAUAGAGCUGAGUAGAAUUGAGUGCACAGACUAGAGCAGAAUAGAGUAGAGAUGAAUAGAACUAAGUAGAAUUGAGUGCACAGACUAGCGUAGAAUAGAGUAGAGAAGAAUAGAACUGAGUAGAAUUGAGUGCACAGACUAGAGUAGAACAGAGGAGAGAAGAAUAGAGUAGGGUAGAAUAGAGUAGAAUAGCAUGAAGUAGAACAGAGGAGUGCAGCUAAACCAGCAGCUAAACACAAGAGUCACGAUACUCUACACACAGAAACCCAACAGUGUCCUGACUCAUCUUAUAACAGUCUUAUAAAACAAUUCACUUGUUUAUACCGAUCGAAAAUGCCAGAUAAGUCGAAUUCCGUAACGAAUUCUAAUCGACGUCGUUCAGAAGAGUUGACCCGUAAAGCAUUUUUGUGACAAUAUCUAUUGGAAAAUAAAUAAAUAAAGGCUCUUUAGUUACAAAAAUCGAAUUGGAAAUCCACUGAUUCACAAGUAAGUGAAACGUCAUGUACCCCAGUGACUUUUUUCCUAAUACUGCAAAUCCAGUGUGU
ensembl:lncRNA